GUGAGGAAUAUUGGUCAAUGGGCGCAAGCCUGAACCAGCCAUGCCGCGUGCAGGAAGACGGUCCUAUGGAUUGUAAACUGCUUUUAUACAGGAAGAAACCUCCCUACGUGUAGGGACUUGACGGUACUGUAGGAAUAAGGAUCGGCUAACUCCGUGCCAGCAGCCGCGGUAAUACGGAGGAUCCAAGCGUUAUCCGGAAUCAUUGGGUUUAAAGGGUCCGUAGGCGGCCUUAUAAGUCAGUGGUGAAAUCUCCUAGCUCAACUAGGAAACUGCCAUUGAUACUGUAGGGCUUGAAUUUUUGUGAAGUAACUAGAAUAUGUAGUGUAGCGGUGAAAUGCUUAGAUAUUACAUGGAAUACCAAUUGCGAAGGCAGGUUACUAACAAACGAUUGACGCUGAUGGACGAAAGCGUGGGGAGCGAACAGGAUUAGAAACCCGAGUAGUCC
rnacentral:rRNA from 1 species